rnacentral:rRNA from 1 species
UACGGGGGGGGCAAGCGUUGUUCGGAAUUACUGGGCGUAAAGGGUCUGUAGGUGGCUUGUUAAGUCAGACGUGAAAUCCCUCAGCUUAACUGGGGAACUGCGUCUGAGACUGGUGAGCUCGAGUGCAGGAGAGGAAUGUGGAAUUCCAGGUGAAGCGGUGAAAUGCGUAGAUAUCUGGAAGAACACCGGUGGCGAAGGCGGCAUUCUGGACUGCAACUGACACUGAAAGACGAAAGCCAGGGGAGCAAACGGG